CCAAGCGGGCUGUCAUGUGGCUUCCAUCUGGCUUCCAUCUGUCAACCCCAAGUUUGCCUCUAUUAUUUAUUUUUAUUCUUCAAACCAAUGGCUGGCACAGGUAUAAAUAUUUWAAAUGAAUCCCGUUCAACCAGGAAAGAUUGAUUAUUUUCAUCAGUAUUACAUUUUGUUGGGCAAUACUUCACCAGCUGAGAAAUUAAUAGGAGAUUUGUUGCCUGGCACAGCAGACUGAGAGGAAAUUGCCAUUUAUUCAACAGAGAUACUUYACAGUUCGGGAGAGGGAUUUUUAUCUCCAAAGAGAAAUUACCACGGGUGCUCGGCCCGGCCUCCGGCCCAGAGAUCUAGUUUCAGAUGCUCUGUGCAUUGACUCUUUGUGCCCAGUGUUCAAUCAUGAUCCUCUCUUCCUCGAGCAGCAUAGUGUUGCAGGCAGCUCUCUGCUGUAGGAAACCAUGGGGCAAGGGGCACCUUACACUGGCUGCCCUGUAGGGCUUAAAUCAUUUACAAUGUUGCUCUGCUUUGGAGAUUUGUUCUGCCCGCAAAUUGUCGUCCUCAUACGUCAUCAUUGUGCUCCCUAUGUAGCUGUUAUUGAUUCCUACUUUCACUCUGGUUGCAUGUAAUGCAGUAAGUUGUUCAUCGCUGCAUCCUGUUUYUGCAUCCAGAAAUGGGGCCAUUCCUGUAUAAAGUGCCGGAGAGAUCCUUUAUCCUUAUUCUAUAUGUAUAUGUUACAUAUUCUGCAUUUGUUUAUCUUGUGCCACUUUCCACAUUUUUGAUGACGUCGCUCUCUCCAGUGCUCCAAGUUGAUCUGUAUGUUCCUAUUGGCUAUGUACACUGACGGACAGCCCACAGAAAAUGCUGAAUGGUUCUGGAGGUGUCUGGAGGAGGCAUCCACURACUUCAGAUAUGGGAAAGCCUACCUGAAAGGACUGAGAUAUGCAGUGUUUGGCCUGGGCAACUCUGUAUGGCAGCCAUUACAAUACGGUGAGUAAGAAUGUGAACAAGUGGCUGUGGAUGCUGAGUGGCAUCCGGGUUCUGUCCAGAGGAGAUGGCAACUGCAACGUAGUGAAGAGCCACAAUGGCAGGCUGACUUUCUGGUCUGGAAGACCAAGUUCCUGAGCUGCCUGCAGGCCCUGGUUGCAGGGCAGAAGAACUGUAGUGGAAACUGUAAGAUGUGCAGCUCCUGUAAGACCAGCAACAGGAAGAAACCACAGGAGAAGACUGCGGACUAUCAGGCAUUUCCAGAACAGCUCAGCUCUGAGGAGGAGCUGGUAGAGUCCGGUAGUGAUGAGGAGACAGCUGGGUCAGAGGAGAAUAGCCCAGGCUCAGUCAUCGAUGUGGAGGAUCUAGGAAACAUCUUGAACGGCAUCAAGAAAACCAAGAGAAGAGAGAGCAGAGCCAGGAGGAUGGACAGAUUGUGAAGCUGUCCAGGCUGAACGGAAUGAUGAAGGCUGAGGAAAAGGAGGAGAGGAGAGAGUUGAUCACUGCUGCCCUGAGGGAGGCCCUGACUAAGCAAGACAUAAUCGUGGAAAUGGAUGGCUAUAAAUUCCUAGACACAAUGAAAUGAAAGSACAUGCAGUACCAAUCAAAGGUUUGGACACACCUACUCAUUCAAGGGUUUUUCUUUAUUUUUA